rnacentral:rRNA from 1 species
GACAGAGGGUGCAAACGUUGUUCGGAAUUACUGGGCGUAAAGCGCGUGUAGGCUGCUUCGCAAGUCGGAUGUGAAAGCCCUGGGCUCAACCCAGGAAGUGCAUUCGAAACUGCAGAGCUGGAGUCCUGGAGAGGAAGGCGGAAUUCUCGGUGUAGAGGUGAAAUUCGUAGAUAUCGAGAGGAACACCGGUGGCGAAGGCGGCCUUCUGGACAGUGACUGACGCUGAGACGCGAAAGCGUGGGGAGCGAACCGG